GCCUGACCUCAGUCAUAUACCUGAAGUUGCAAUACAGUGCAAGAGAAUGGUCAAAUACAUCUGUGAAGUGGUAGCAUGGUUCACACAACAAAAGCAGUAAAACAGUGGAAUAAUGUGCAUGAACUAUUUUAAGAGUCUUUGGUUCCUGUUUGGUUCAGCGAAAAUGUUCCAUCUAAAAAGAAUGAAGCCCCAGCACUUGUGGUGCCUAGUCUAUGUGCAAUGACAGACAUCCCCCACUCACGAAGGAUUGCAAGAACUGAUCUCAAAAGGCGCAACUUUAGAUUUAGUGAAGGCAUGAUUGCGCCAUUUGAUAACAGUUGAUCAUACACGGCAAGCACUGGUUCAGGAAGACCUUUACAGGCACCAAGAAGAGCUCUUGCAACAUCAUCAUCACCAACCAAUUCUUCUCCUGAACUUAAUCUAUCCUGUAGGGAAGAGCAGGAUAAUGUGAGUACCACAGUGGAAUGCCCUCAGAGUUAGCCUCAAGCAUGCAGGAUCAAGUUUCGAGCCUACUCUUUUCACCACAGAACAUGCUUCUGCAACACCACCUCUUGUAAGUGCCUGGUCAAGGAGUCUAGCCCAAAUUUCUCGAACAAUUUUGCUAUCAGCAUCUCCAGAGUAAUUAGCAAAG